rnacentral:rRNA from 1 species
AACGUAGGUACCGAGCGUUAUCCGGAUUUACUGGGCGUAAAGCGCGUUCAGGCGGCUUAGCAAGUCGGGCAUGAAAUCUCUCGGCUCAACCGGGAGGGGCUGUCCGAUACUGCUGGGCUUGAGGGCAGUAGAGGGUGGUGGAAUUCCGGGUGUAGUGGUGAAAUGCGUAGAGAUCCGGAGGAACACCAGUGGCGAAAGCGGCCACCUGGACUGUACCUGACGCUCAAACGCGAAAGCUAGGGGAGCGAACGGGAUUAGAAACCCCCGUAGUCC